rnacentral:rRNA from 1 species
UGCAAGUCGAACGAGCCAGUACCCUUCGGGGUGCGAGUAAAGUGGCGAGCGGGUGAGUAACACGUGGGUAACCUGCCUUUGAGUGGGGAACAACCCCUCUAACGAGGGGCUAAUACCGCAUAAUGCAGCGGCUCCGCAUGGAGGCAGUUGUUAAAGGGGCAGCUUCGGUUGUCUCGCUUGAAGAUGGACCCGCGGUCCAUUAGCUUGUUGGUGAGGUAACGGCUCACCAAGGCAACGAUGGAUAGCCGGCCUGAGAGGGUGUACGGCCACACUGGAACUGAGAAAGGUCCAGUCCCCUACGGGGGCCAGCAGUCUAAAAAUUUGCGCAAUGGGCGAAAGCCUGACGCAGCGACCCCACGUGGAGGAUGAAGCCCUUAGGGGUGUAAACUCCUGUCAGAAGGGAAGAAUGCAAGAAAUAACUUUUCCUGUUUGACUGUACCUUCAGAGGAAGCCCCGGCUAACUUCGUGCCAGCAGCCGCGGUAAUACGAAGGGGGCAAGCGUUGUUCGGAUUUACUGGGCGUAAAGGGCGUGCAGGCGGACCGAUAAGUCGUCUGUGAAAUCUGUCGGCUCAACCAACAACUUGCAGUCGAAACUAUCGGUCUUGAGUACAGGAGAGGAGAGCGGAAUCUCAGGUGUAGCGGUGAAAUGCGUAUAUAUCUGGGAGAACACCGGUGGCGAAGGCGGCUCUCUGGCCUGAUACUGACGCUGAGGCGCGAAAGCUAGGGGAGCGAACGGGAUUAGAUACCCCGGUAGUCCUAGCUGUAAACGAUGGGUACUAGGGUGUUGGAGGUUUUGACCCCUCCAGUGCCGCAGCUAACGCAUUAAGUACCCCCGCCUGGGA